rnacentral:rRNA from 1 species
ACACCAGGUCAAGUGAGAUUACUCGAUGAGUUUGAGAAUAUCAAUAUGCAGAGAAAAAGAAACUUACUAGGAUUCCCCUAGUAAUAGCGAGUGAACCAAGAAUAGCCUAGCUUGAUAGUUAGGCCCCCGACGUUCAAAUUGUAAUAUGCAAAAGUAUCCUUAGUGGCAGACCAGACCCUAGUACCCUAAAAAAAGGCAUCAAAGAGGGUGAAGCCCCAUUGGGCUUGGACCCUAUUGUACCACAUAGUGCUGUAUGAGAGUUGAGUUGUUUAGGAAUGCAACUCCAAUUGGGUAGUAAAUUCUAUCCAAGGCUGAAUAUGUGUUAAAGAUCGAUAGCGAACAAGUACUACAAGGGAAAUAUGAAAAGAAGUUUGAAAAAUAGUUGAAAAGUGCUUGAAAUUAUUAAAAAAAAUUGAUAGGGGGCCAACAAUGCACCCCAAUAAGAUGGGAAACUGUGAAAGCUAGUUUGCCGAUUAGCUUGGGGUUUCAAUAUGCCUAUAGAGACAUUGUCACUAUGAUUGUGGAAUGUAGCACAUGCUGUCUUGACAUGCCUUGGCACUUGUAUGCUUACGGCAUCAACUUACGGGCUCUCCAUCCAACCCAUUAUGAAACACAGACCAAAUAGUCCAACAUGUGUGCAAGUCAAUAGGCUAGGAAAUCCAUAAGGCACAAGGAAGCUGAUUGGCAGGAUCCCUUAUGGGUGCACCAUUAAUCGACCUUCAUCUUUUUCAAAGUGUUCAAGUGCAAGCAUGCCUAUCAGGACUUAAAAUAUGGUAAACUAUGCUUGAGUGGGUUAAAGCCAGAGGAAACUCUGGUGGAGGCUCAUAGCAAUACCUACGUGCAAAUCAUUUGUUUGACUUAGGUAUAAGGGUGAUAGACUAAUCAAACCAUAUAGUAGCUAGUUACCUCCAAAGUUUCCUUUAAGAUAGUUAGAGCCUUUAGUGAGUUCUAUCGAGUAAAACCAAUGAUUAGAGGCAUCGGGGGCACAACACCCUCGACCUAUUCUCAAACUUUAAAUAGGUAGGAUGAGUAAAUGGUUCAUUAAGGCACGCCAUGGAAUUGAGAGCUCCAAGUAGGCCUUUUUGGUAAACAAAACUAACAAUGUAUGAUGAACUGAAAGCUAGGUUACAGUCCCAAUAAUGCUAAAUUAGAACCCAUAAAAGGUGUUGGUCAAUUAAGAUAGUAGGAUGACAGUCAUGGAUGUCAAAAUCCACUAAGUAGUGUGUAAUAACUCACCUGCCAAAUCAACUAGCCUAAAAAAUAGAUGGCAAUUAAGCACCGGCCCAUUCCUCAUCAUUAGGGCAAUGAUGAAGCCUCUAUAAAUAAGAGGGCAUGAUGAUCACCAUAAAACUUGGGGUGUGAGCCUAGAAGGAGUGGCUAUCAAUAUAGAUCUUGGUGGUAGUACCAAAUAUUCAAAUGAGAACUUUAAAGGCAAAGAGCAGAAAGGUUUCAUAUGAACGACACUUGCACAUAGGUUAGUUGAUCUUAAGACAUGGGGGAAGCCCAUUCGACAGCAUGACUGAUGUGAGUUUUGAAAGGUAAUUGGGUUAAAAUUCUUGAAUUAAGAUACGACAGUUGACGUUAGCAUUAAAGAGUCCAAAGACAUCAGUAGAGGCUUUAGGAAGAUGUAUCUUUUCUAUUUAAUGGCUUGCCCACCUUGGAAAUAGCUUAAUUAGAGGUAGGGUCCAAUAAUCGAAAGAGUAUCGCACAUUAUGUGGUGCUCUGUGCACCCCUGAUGGCCCUUAAAAAUUUAGAGGAUCGAGUGUUAUUUAUGCUUGGUCAUACUCAUAAAUGCAUCAGGUCACCAAGGUGAAUAGCUUUUGGUCGAUGGAACAAUAUAGACAAGGGAAGUUGGCAAAAUGGAUCCAUAACCUCGAGAAAAGGAUUAGUUCUGAUAGCUAGGUAUAAGGGUCCUAGUCCUGAACCCAUUGGCUUUCAGUGCAUUACUUAAGCUACUUUUAUGGUGAGAGCAAUCACCCUAUUUGGCUAGGGGAUGGACUGGGAAUAGCUCUUUCAAGGGCCUUUCUUAGAUGAUGAACAAUUUGACUCAAAAUAGGUAUGGAUAAAGGGAAUCUGAUUCUUUAAUUAAAACAAAGUGUCGUAAUGGUCCCUAUUGAUUCUUACGCAAUGUGAUUUUUGCUCAGUACUCUAAAUGUCAAAGUGAAGAAAUUUGACCAAGCGGAGGUAAAUGAUGGGAGUAACUAUGACACUCUUAAAGUAGCUAAAUGCCUCAUCUCUAAUUAGUGUGCACAUUAAUAGAUUAACCAAAUUCCCACUAUCUCUAUCUACUAUAUACCAAAACCACAGCCAAAGGAAUGGGCUUCGUGGAAUUAGAGAGGAAAGAAGACCCUAUUAAGUUUGACUCUAGUCUGACUUUAUGAAAUAACUUGAGAGGUAUAGGAUAAGUGGGAGCCCUUGGGUGAAAUUGAAACACCAUUACUUUUAACAUUAUUUUACAUAUUCCAUGAAUAAGAGGUGAGGCAAGACCCCUUCUUUUGGACCCAGGGCCAGCCUUCGUCAAUUGAUUUAGGCAAAAAACAUUGUCAGGUGGGGAGUUUGGCUAGGGUGGCACAUCUAUUAAAAGAUGAUGUAGGUGUCCAAAGAUGAGCUCAACAAGAAUAGAAAUCUCGUGUGAAAUGAAAAGGUAAAAGCUCAUUUGAUUCUAAUUUCUAGUACAAAUACAAACCAUGAAAGUGUGGCCUAUUGAUCCUUUAAACCUCCGAAAUUUGAUGCUAGAGGUGUCAGAAAAGGUAGCCAAGUGUUCAUAGCAACAUUGCUUUUUGAUCCUUCAAUGUCAACUUUUCCUAUCAUUGUGAACCAAAAUUCACCAAGUGUUGGAUUGUUCACCCACUAAUAAAGAAUGUGAGCUAGGUUUAGAUCAUUAUAAGACAGGUUAGUUUUACCCUACUGAUGUUAGCGCCAUAAUAGUAAUUCAACCUAGUAUAAGAGGAACUAUUGGUUCGCACAAUGGUCAUCGCACUUGGUUGAAAAUCUAGUGGUGCGACACUACCAUGCACUGGAUUAUGACUAUAAGCCUCUAAGUUAGAAUCUAAGCUAGAAGCAAUGCACAUGCCCGUAGCCCAAUUGCUAACCCAUAGUAGGGGCCCAUGGUCCCAAGGCAUCUAUUAUAGGUGUAGCCUCUAUGAUGAACAAGUCGCACAGGCCUCCUUGGAGCUUAAUUCCCAUCGAGCAGUAGGUACAAUCCUUUAUA